GAUGAACGCUAGCGGCAGGCCUAAUACAUGCAAGACGAACGGUAAGUUGAGUAGCAAUACUUAGCCAAGAGUGUCGUACGGGUGCGUAACACGUAUGCAACCUACCCUAUACAGGAGGAUAGCCUAGGGAAACCUGGAUUAACCCUUCAUAGUAUUAUUGGAUGGCAUCAUUUGAUAAUUAAAACUGAGGUGGUAUAGGAUGGGCAUGCGUCUGAUUAGUUAGUUGGCGGGGUAAUGGCCCACCAAGACGAUGAUCAGUAGGGGUUCUGAGAGGAAGAUCCCCCACACUGGCACUGAGAUACGGGCCAGACUCCUACGGGAGGCAGCAGUAGGGAAUAUUGGUCAAUGGAUGCAAGUCUGAACCAGCCAUGCCGCGUGCAGGAAGAAGGCCCUUUCUGGGGUUGUAAAACUGCUUUUGCCAGGGGAUAAAAUUUCCAUGCGUGGAAAACUGAAGGUACCUGGUGAAUAAGCCACGGCUAACUACGUGCCAGCAGCCGCGGUAAU
rnacentral:rRNA from 1 species